CUACGGGUGGCACCAGUGGGGAAUAUUGGACAAUGGAGGCAACUCUGAUCCAGCCAUGCCGCGUGAGUGAUGAAGGCCUUAGGGUUGUAAAGCUCUUUCAGAUGUGACGAUGAUGACGGUAACAUCAGAAGAAGCCCCGGCUAACUUCGUGCCAGCAGCCGCGGUAAUACGAAGGGGGCUAGCGUUGUUCGGAAUUACUGGGCGUAAAGCGCGCGUAGGCGGCUUGAUCAGUCAGAGGUGAAAUCCCAGGGCUCAACCCUGGAACUGCCUUUGAUACUGUCAAGCUAGGGCUCGGAAGAGGGUGGCGGAAUAUCCAGUGUAGAGGUGAAAUUCGUAGAUAUUGGAUAGAACACCAGUGGCGAAGGCGGCCACCUGGUCCGUAGCUGACGCUGAGGUGCGAAAGCGUGGGGAGCAAACAGGAUUAGAUACCCCCGUAGUC
rnacentral:rRNA from 1 species